rnacentral:rRNA from 1 species
CGGUCAUCCAAUGUUAGAAACACAUGUUGACGUGUAUGAUUCAAAAACUCAAAAGGUUAUCUUCCGUUUCUCAACCGGUUUGAUCCUCAAAUUGUGAAUUGUCGAUACGUAGGGAUAACGAUUGUUUGUGAAUACGUCAUGUUAAAGGGUUUGUUUUUAUAAUGAUAUACCAUUUAUGGGUAACGUACAUGACAUCAAAGUGGUGAACAUGCGCAUUUUAGAGAGGUAGGAGACGACAAGUCAGUUCCUCCGACAAAUGGGCCAGCGGCGGAAGGAGACGUAUAGGAAAGACGUGAACCAUGACUCUUUUGACUUCGAUAACAGUUAGAGUAGUUAUGUGACUCGUAGAGAGAUAUAGAGCAUACAGUAAGGGUGUGCGUCGUCGGACAAUACACCUUGUGUACACUAGAAGAGACCAACGGACUUCAAGAAGGAGUACUUUAACAUCCGCAUCAGUUGAUAAUAAAAGAAGUGGUUUGGCCGUAAAACGAGGCGGUGGUGCAAUCAAAGAGGGUCAUC